rnacentral:rRNA from 1 species
CGGGCAGGUGGUCCGUUAAGUCGUCUGUGAAAAUCCGGGGCUCAACCCCGUGAAAUGCAGGCGAUACUGGCGGGCUAGAGAUCGGUAGAGGCUAGCGGAAUUCCUGGUGUAGCGGUGGAAUGCGUAGAUAUCAGGAAGAACACCCGUGGCGAAGGCGGCUAGCUGGGCCGAGUCUGACACUCAUCCGCGAAAGCGUGGGGAGCAAACA